rnacentral:rRNA from 1 species
GAUGAACGCUAGCGGCAGGCUUAACACAUGCAAGUCGAGGGGUAGUUCCGAUUUAUCGGGAUGAGACCGGCGGAUGGGUGAGUAACACGUAUGCAAUCUGCCUUGUACAGGGGAAUAGCCCAGGGAAACUUGGAUUAAUGCCCCAUAGUGUCUUGUUUCGGCAUUGAGACUUGACUAAAGAUUUAUCGGUACAAGAUGAGCAUGCGCCCCAUUAGCUAGUUGGUAUGGUAACGGCAUACCAAGGCUAUGAUGGGUAGGGGCCCUGAGAGGGGUAUCCCCCACACUGGUACUGAGACACGGACCAG